rnacentral:rRNA from 1 species
GACGAACGCUGGCGGCGUGCCUAAUACAUGCAAGUAGAACGCAGUUGCGAACGGGUGAGUAACGCGUAGGUAACUGCCUCAUAGCGGGGGAUAACUAUUGGAAAAGAUGGCUAAUACCGCAUAUUGUGAGAUGGACCUGCGUUGUAUUAGUUAGUUGGUGAGGUAAAGGCUCACCAAGGCGACGAUACCUAGGCGACCUGAGAGGGUGAACCGCCAAACUGGGACUGGGGCACGGACCCGACUCCUACGGGAGGGAGCAGUAGGGAAACUUCGGCAAUGGGGGGAAGGCUGACCGAGCAACGCCGCGUUGGUGAAGAAGGGUUUCGGAUCGUAAAGCUCUGUUGUGAGAGAAGCGGUAAUCAACCAGAAAGGGCCGGCUAACUACGUGCCAGCAGCCGCGGUAAUAC